GCAGCUAAGUUGCCAGGCAACGCCCUGGCGCCUGCGGGGCGGGCGGGGUCGCUGCGCCUGGAGGAUGCGAGAGCUUCGGCCCAGGCCGCUUGCGCGCUGUGUCAGGAAGGCGCUUGGGGAAAAUGUCCGGCGCGGCGACCUGGGACAGGAAGUGAUGGAGCAGGGACUUAGUUUGCCCUUCAGUUCUUGCAUAAAAAGUUUUGACGUGAAUGUGAUUCGCUAACAGUCGGAAACUCUGGGCGGGGCGCGGUAGCUCACACCUGUGAUCCCCGCGCUUUGGGAGGCGGAGGCGGGCGGAGCUCUUGAGCCCAGCAGCUCGGACCAGCCUGGGCAGCAUGGCUAGACCCCAUCCCUACAAAAAUUACAAAAAGUAGUCGGGCAUGGUGGCGGGCUCCUGUGGUACCAUCUACUCCGUGGACUGAGGCGGGAGGAUCGCCUGAGCCUGGGAGGUCGAGGCCGCAGGGAGCCGAGCUCACUGCACUACAGGGGUGGACAGCGAGACGCUGCCAAAAGAAAAAAAAAGAAAGCAAAAGCAGGCCGGGCGCGGUGGCUCACGCCUGUAAUCCCAGCACUUUGGGAGGCCGAGGCCAGUGGAUUACCUGAAGUCGGGAGUUCGAGACCAGCCUGGGCAAUUUGGAGAAACCCCGUAUCUACUACAAAUACAAAAUUAGCCGGGCGUGAUGGUGCACGCCUGUUAUCCCAGCUACUCGGGAGGCUGAGGCCGGAGAAUUGCUUGAACCCGGGAGGCGGAGGUUGCAGUGAGCCGAGAUCGGGCCAUUGCACUCCAGGCCAGGGCAACAAGAGCGAAACUCCGUCUCAAAAAAAAAAAAAAGGCGAAACACAAUUCGGGUGGGAGGGGCAGUGUUCAGCGUUCUCGGUUGUCUGUUCCGCCCCCAAAGGCUUCCCUCCUUAGGUUUAACCUGCGCCCCCGCGCUCUGCAUCAGCGCCGCCCCCGACCCCGUGCAGCUGGAAACACUGGGCGCCUCCCUGCUGGGCCCCUUCUCUCCCCGGUGGUGGUGCAACCCUGCCUCUCCCGAGACAGCACUGCCUUCGUGCUGGACACAGUUCUACGGUGGAGCCUGGAGUGCCUGUAGCACAAAUCCCCGGAAUUGUUCCUAGGGUUGUCUCUGAAUUUUCAUCCAGUUGCCUACCAAGAUGUUGAAUGGACCCAGAGCCAAGGACGUGGUCUUUUAUCAGUGGCACCUGAGACUUUCUUCCCUGUGGACGCAAAUCCAUUAUUCAGCACCCUGGGCACAGCUACAGAUCUGAUCAGCUAUCCAUUCUCCAAACUAUCUCAUCCUCUGUCCCAUUUUCCUGUCUCUGUUGCCCACAAGGCAUAUACCUGAGAGUUUUCAAAUUCCUCAAAGAAAUUUAGAUAUUCUGUAGCUUUGGCAUUCACCUAAUGUGUUAAUCUACAAACCUUUCCUACAAUGUGGAUUUUUUUUUCAUGAUGUAGUGAAUUCAAGUGGUUUCUAGUGUUCUCUUCAUAAAGUUGUAAACCAAAAAUAAAAUUCUAAGGCCCCACCCCA